GCCGGGCAUAGUGGUGUGUGCCUGUAGUCCCAGCUACUUAGGAGGCUGAGGCAGGAGAAUCACUUGAACCCGGGAGGCAGAGGUUGCAGUGAGCUGAGAUCAUGCCACUGCACUCCAGCCUGGGUGACAGAGUGAGACUCUGUCUCAA
rnacentral:sRNA from 1 species